rnacentral:lncRNA from 1 species
UAUGGUGUGCCAGGAGCCGCGCCGGCCGGGAGUUGGGUGGGCUCGGGGACAGGCGCGCUCGCGCCGCCCGCUCCAGCUGGGCUAGUGCUGCACAUUCCGGCCAGCCCCUCCUCAAGACCCCAUUCCCAAGCCCCUUCUCAGCUCCCUCGGGCCGGCAGAGCGGCUCUGAUCAGUAAAAUGCUGUUGAAGACCCAUGGGCAUGACUGCACCCCUCACUAAUUGGUCACUGGUUUGGGGAGGACACCACUGUCCCAGUGGAACCUUGAGCACACCUUGGGGCCCUCCUCUUCCUCUCCGGACCUGUGCCAAACUGUGAGUGGCACAGAGCAAGGACUGUAUGUGUUCUCUUCUUUGUUGCAUACUCAGUUCCUUGACCACAGUGCCAAGCACACAGCGAGCACUCCCUGUGUAUCUGCUGAGUAAAUAAACGAAUGAACAAACCCAACACAUUUCAGCCAAGUCCUGCUGAUGUUUCUCCUCCAAUCCAGCUCUUCCUUUCCAGCCUUACUUCUGCCACUCCAGAUUUCACCCCCAUCAGCUUCAGGCUGGAUAAAAGGAAACCAUUUCUCUAAAGGAUCACUUGCCCUCUCAUUUCAGGCCAUCCUGCAGCCACCAGAACCUUCCACAUGAAAUGAAAGGCUCACCACUUCAUAGGCUUUAAGGAAAUUCUUGGCCAGGUGUGGUGCCUCACUGCUGUAAUCCCAGUGCUUUAAGAGGCCAAGAUGGGAGGAUUGCUUAAGCCAGGUGUUUGAGACCAGCCUGGGCAACAUAGUAAGACCCCGUCUCUACAAAAAAAAAAAAAA